UACGUAGGGUGCAAGCGUUGUCCGGAAUUAUUGGGCGUAAAGAGCUCGUAGGCGGCUAGUCGCGUCGGCUGUGAAAACCUGGGGCUCAACCCCGGGCCUGCAGACGAUACGGGCUAGCUAGAAUUCGGUAGGGGAGACUGGAAUUCCUGGUGUAGCGGUGAAAUGCGCAGAUAUUAGGAGGAACACCGGUGGCGAAGGCGGGUCUCUGGGCCGAUAUUGACGCUGAGGAGCGAAAGCGUGGGGAGCGAACAGG
rnacentral:rRNA from 1 species